rnacentral:rRNA from 1 species
AUACGGAGGGGGCUAGCGUUGUUCGGAAUUACUGGGCGUAAAGCGCGUGUAGGCGGAUCGUUAAGUCAGGGAUGAAAGCCCGGGGCUCAACCCCGGAACUGCCCUUGAUACUGGCGAUCUAGAGUCCGGAAGAGGUGGGCGGAAUUCCCGGUGUAGAGGUGAAAUUCGUAGAUAUCGGGAGGAACACCAGUGGCGAAGGCGGCUCACUGGUCCGGCACUGACGCUGAGACGCGAAAGCGUGGGGAGCAAACAGGAUUAGAUACCCUAGUAGUCC